rnacentral:rRNA from 1 species
CAGCCCCUCGAGUGGUGGGGAUGAUUAUUUGGCCUAAAGCGUCCGUAGCCGGCCGUGUAAGUCUCCCGUUAAGUCCAGCGUCUCAAGCGUUGGACUGCGGGAGAUACUGUACGGCUAGAGAGUGGGAGAGGUCAGCGGUAUUCUGGGGGUAGGGGCGAAAUCCUUUGAUCCCCGGAGGACCACCAGUGGCGAAGGCUGCUGACUAGAACACGUCUGACGGUCAGGGACGAAAGCUGGAGUAGCGAACCGGAUUAGAGACCCGAGUAGUCC